rnacentral:rRNA from 1 species
GAUCCUGGCUCAGAAUCAACGCUGGCGGCGUGCCUAACACAUGCAAGUCGAACGCGAAAGCCCCGCAAGGGGUGAGUAGAGUGGCAAACGGGUGAGUAACACGUGGGUGAUCUGCCUCAGAGUGGGGGAUAACGACCCGAAAGGGUCGCUAAUACCGCAUAACAUCCUGCCUUUGGAUAGGUGGAGAUCAAAGCCGGGGAUCCGCAAGGACCAGGCGCUUAGAGAGGAGCCCGCGGCCGAUUAGCUAGUUGGUGAGGUAACGGCUCACCAAGGCAACGAUCGGUAUCCGGCCUGAGAGGGCGGACGGACACACUGGGACUGAGACACGGCCCAGACUCCUACGGGAGGCAGCAGUGGGGAAUUGUUCGCAAUGGGCGCAAGCCUGACGACGCAACGCCGCGUGGAGGACGAAGAUCUUCGGGUCGUAAACUCCUUUCGAUCGGGAAGAAUGGCUCCGGGGUUAAUAGCCCUGGAGAGUGACGGUACCGAGAGAAGAAGCCCCGGCUAACUCUGUGCCAGCAGCCGCGGUAAUACAGGGGGGGCAAGCGUUGUUCGGAAUUACUGGGCGUAAAGGGCUCGUAGGCGGCCAACUAAGUCCGACGUGAAAUCCCAAAGCUUAACUUUGGAACUGCGUCGGAUACUGGAUGGCUUGAAUUCGGGAGAGGGAUGCAGAAUUCCAGGUGUAGCGGU